UUAUCAGCUUUUAACGGCUGCGGUAAUACGGCCUUAGGUAGCACAAUUAGCUUGCCCUUUAAUUGUGGUGCGAUACGUGAAUGGCAAGACGAGAGUUCAGCUGUCUCGAUGUUGGUGAGGUGAAAAUAUAGUGCAGGUGAAGAUGCCUGCAUGGCGUAGGGGGAAGAGAAGACCCCGUGGAACUUUAGUGAUAGUCUGUAAGCAUUAAAUAGCCUUUAGCGAAAUGUCGCGUGGCUAAGAGAUGGUGUUUAGGUGUUCAUAUUAGCUGGGGCAGCUAGGUAAGCAAAGUAUAUUAUCGAAGGGGCGAUAAAAGCGUGCUUGCUAAUAAGAUCCACUGAAAAAGUGAUCUUCGGAAUUAGUUACCCCGGGGGUAACAGACUAAUCUCGCUCUGUGAGGACGUAUUGACGAGCGGGUUUGGCACCUCGAUGUUGGCUUGGGAUGUCCUGGGGAUGUAGGAGUCCUCAAGGGUUGGUCUGUUCGCCCAUUAAAAUCCUACGUGAUCUGAGUUCAAACCGGA
rnacentral:rRNA from 1 species